AUUGAACGCUGGCGGCAUGCUUAACACACGCAAGUCGAACGGCAGCAUGGGCUUCGGCCUGAUGGCGAGUGGCGGACGGGUGAGUAAUGCGUAGGAAUCUGCCCUGUAGUGGGGGAUAACACGGGGAAACUCGUGCUAAUACCGCAUACGUUCUACGGAAGAAAGCGGGGGAUCGUAAGACCUCGCGCUAGAGGAUGAGCCUACGUCGGAUUAGCUUGUUGGUGGGGUAAAGGCCUACCAAGGCGACGAUCCGUAGCUGGUCUGAGAGGAUGAUCAGCCACACUGGGACUGAGACGCGGCCCAGACUCCUACGGGAGGCAGCAGUGGGGAAUAUUGGACAAUGGGCGCAAGCCUGAUCCAGCAAUGCCGCGUGUGUGAAGAAGGCCUGCGGGUUGUAAAGCACUUUAAGCAGGAAAGAAGGGGCGAGGGUUAAUACCCCUUGCCAUUGACGUUACCUGAAGAAUAAGCACCGGCUAACUCCGUGCCAGCCGCCGCCGUAA
rnacentral:rRNA from 1 species